rnacentral:lncRNA from 1 species
GGUGGAGCGUUGCGUGAAGCGUCUGUGUCUCUGCGAGAUCUUGCUGUGGGCCAGGUAUCCAUUCUCCUGCGGCAGCUUAGACCCUACGGAGACUAGAGGUCCGUGGGUGGUGGAGGAUCCUUUGCGUAGCAAAAAAGGAAGGCGAGUGCUCCUGCAUCCUCUCCAGACGGUACCCAGGGUCUCACUUUUCAGCUCUGGCUGUUCUGGAACUCACUGACAUUCCCCUCCGCCUACAGAGUGCUGGGAUUAAAGAACAUCCACCAUUAUUAGAACCAUCACCCUGCAGCUAGCUUGGACAUCAUUAAAAGGGCUCAUCAGAAGUAUCUGAUAUUCAUGAAGACAGAGUUUCAGGGUUUUCUGCCUGGAGCUACACCCUCCAGGAGCCCCUGCUUGGCUUCC